rnacentral:lncRNA from 1 species
GAAAUGUCAGAUCAAGUGAAACUCACAUCAUGAGACGUAUCUGUACUGCUUUAAGCUUUUGUAUACAAUUUCGGUUGUGGCCAUCCAUUUAUCUCAAGAAGGAUGAGGUCAAAUAAGGCCAAUCGGUACUUAUUUAAUCUUCCAUUUCUUAAACUAAUUGCACAGCGGAAGAGAGAAGAAAAAUCGAAUCUUUUAUUAAUUCUUUUACCGAGAGAGAAAAUGUGCAAUUGGAGGAGAUGGAGAAAAUGUA